UACGUAGGGUGCAAGCGUUAAUCGGAAUUACUGGGCGUAAAGCGUGCGCAGGCGGUUUUGUAAGUCUGUCGUGAAAUCCCCGGGCUCAACCUGGGAAUUGCGAUGGAGACUGCAAGGCUAGAAUCUGGCAGAGGGGGGUAGAAUUCCGACGUGUGAGCAGUGAAAUGUGUAGAGAUAGUGGAGGAACACCGAUGGCGAAGGCAGCCCCCUGGGUCAAGAUUGACGCUCAUGCACGAAAGCGUGGGGAGCAACAGG
rnacentral:rRNA from 1 species